rnacentral:lncRNA from 1 species
AGAUCAUGGUCUUCGGAAAACCAAGAAACCAAAAAAGAAAACUAAGAAAAGAAGACACAAGUCGGUGAGUGGAGGAGUCGUCUCGAGGCCCUGCAGUCAUUUCACCUGCCUCCCAGCUGUGCCGCUCAACUGCUGAGAUGGGCUCUGAACUCUUACAGACCAGUCCGGACAGUGAGACGGACCCCGAAGACAAAGCCGACAGGCUGGGACACAUCGGAAAGCGAGCUGAGUGAGGGGGAGCUGGAGAGGCGAAGGCGGACACUCCUACAACAGCUGGACGACCACCAAUGACCCCACGAGCUACUCUGCCUUGGGACUUCGUGAGGCAAUGGCUUCAGGGUGGCCUCAGCAUCUGCCUCAGACUCCUUCGUCUGUCUGGUCUGUGUCCACUUUCCCUACAGUAGCCCACCCCAACGCACUGCCGUGAGCGCCUCUCGAGGUUGCUCUUGGUGUUCAAGGGUCCCCUAGUUCUCAGACAACUAGUGCAGUCCUUGCCCUCAGCCCCAGACCAGAGACGGGCAGUCUAUACCACAUGGGGUGGGUGAUGCCAGUAGAUAGUGUGAGAAGGGGUCUCCCAGGAAAGAGACAGGCUGGUUGGACACAGCCUGGGUGGCCGAGGGCAGGGUCCUCACCCUCUAGCAUCAGUGCCUGCUCUUGCCUGACCUGGUCCUGGGGCUCUACCACUGCUUCCUCUCCCUUGGGACCCGAUGUAUGUGUUCUGUUUUGUUUUUUAAAUAAUAUUUAUAAC